UAUGCUUGUCUCAAAGAUUAAGCCAUGCAUGUCUCAGUGCAAGCCGUCCUGUACGGUGAAACCGCGAAAGGCUCAUUAAAUCAGUUAUGGUUCCUUAGAUAGUACCCACGUUACUUGGAUAACUGUGGUAAUUCUAGAGCUAAUACAUGCCGACAGAGUUCCGACCAGCGUCGCGGCGGCUUGCCGUUCGCGACGUUCGGAAGGAGCGCUUUUAUUAGAUCAAAAUCGGCCAAGCGCAACGUUCGCGUAGCGUUAGUGGCCCGCGCAAAGACUUGACGACUCUGAAUAACUUCGAGCUGAUCGCACGGUCUCGCACCGGCGACGUAUCUUUCAAAUGUCUGCCUUAUCAACUGUCGACGGUACGUUCGAUGCUUACCGUGGUGGUAACGGGUAACGGGGAAUCAGGGUUCGAUUCCGGAGAGGGAGCCUGAGAAACGGCUACCACAUCCAAGGAAGGCAGCAGGCGCGCAAAUUACCCACUCCCAGCUCGGGGAGGUAGUGACGAAAAAUAACGAUACGGGACU
rnacentral:rRNA from 1 species